AUUCGACUGAGAGCUCUGUGGAAGACACAGCUGUCGAGCAGCAGCAGCAGCAGGAUACAUCCAAAGAUGCCACAUUGAAUCAGCCCACCAGAAGGUUGCUUUUCAAAUAUCAAGACAGCUUUCAGCAGAGAGGCACCGUUUCAGUUCAACAAGAAGUGAAAUCUGGAGGUUUUACCGCAAAGAAUCGGAAAUAUUUAACCCCGGCCAAAAGACAGCAACUCUCUGCGCUACAAAGCAG